UACGAAGGGGGCUAGCGUUGUUCGGAAUCACUGGGCGUAAAGGGCGCGUAGGCGGCUGUUCAAGUCGGGGGGGAAAGCCUGUGGCUCAACCACAGAAUUGCCUUCGAUACUGGACGGCUGGAGACCGGAAGAGGUCAGUGGAACUGCGAGUGUAGAGGUGAAAUUCGUAGAUAUUCGCAAGAACACCAGUGGCGAAGGCGGCUGACUGGUCCGGUUCUGACGCUGAGGCGCGAAAGCGUGGGGAGCAAACAGG
rnacentral:rRNA from 1 species